rnacentral:rRNA from 1 species
AUUGAACGCUGGCGGCAGGCCUAACGCAUGCCAGUCGAGCGGAUGAAGGGAGCUUGCUCCUGGAUUCAGCGGCGGACGGGUGAGUAAUGCCUAGGAAUCUGCCUGGUAGUGGGGGAUAACGUCCGGAAACGGGCGCUAAUACCGCAUACGUCCUGAGGGAGAAAGUGGGGGAUCUUCGGACCUCACGCUAUCAGAUGAGCCUAGGUCGGAUUAGCUAGUUGGUGGGGUAAAGGCCUACCAAGGCGACGAUCCGUAACUGGUCUGAGAGGAUGAUCAGUCACACUGGAACUGAGACACGGUCCAGACUCCUACGGGAGGCAGCAGUGGGGAAUAUUGGACAAUGGGCGAAAGCCUGAUCCAGCCAUGCCGCGUGUGUGAAGAAGGUCUUCGGAUUGUAAAGCACUUUAAGUUGGGAGGAAGGGCAGUAAGUUAAUACCUUGCUGUUUUGACGGUACCAACAGAAUAAGCACCGGCUAACUUCGUG